GCUCGGGCGCCUCAGAGGGUUGCUGAGGCCCGUCGAGCCCGCGGAGGUUAAGUCCGCCGGCUGACGCCUCAGCCUUCGCCCCGCGCGCCGGUCUCGGGCUUCACGGAAAUGAAAACAAGCCAAGAGUAAAACAAAACCAGUACAAAUCCCCAAGUCAAAACAGCUACAAUCAAAUUCAAGGAAAGCAAAGGGUGAUUCCUGGAAACCUCUGGAAGCAAGCUGCUGCUGUUUGUUUUAUACCCUGGGCCGUUUGACUUGGAACAUUUCUGAAGUUGUUCAGUUCCUGCACAUCUAAAUGAACGGCUGUUUCUGGGUACAGUUACCUUCUCAGCUUACAUGCUUUGAUGAAGCAAGCUGCCAUGUUGGAAACGGUCAUGUCACAAAGAACUGAGGGAGGCCUCAGGAGGAGCUGAGGUCCAGUCCAACAUCCUGCAAGGAACUGAAUCUUCCCCACAACCACACGAGCUUUGAAGUGGAUGCUUCCUGACUGGAGACUCCCAGCCCUGGCCGACGCCUUGAUUACAGCCUUGUGGGGAGACCCUGAAGCAGAGGACCCAGCUAAGCCACACCAGACUCUUGACCCUCAGAAAUCAAGAGAAUCUGAAGGUGGGAUUUGGGGGAAAACUCUUCCAGAGUUUUCAGAAUCAGAAAUUCACCAGGUCAAUGGACAUCUUAUAUGCCCAGAUCCUACAACUACUGAAGCCCGUGCGCCUAGAGCCCGUGCUCCGCAACAAGAGAAGCCACAGCAAUAAGCCCGUGCACCGCAACGAAGAGUAGCCCCUGCUCGCCGCAACUAGAGAAAGCCCGUGUGCGGUGACGAAGAACCAAU